rnacentral:rRNA from 1 species
AUUGAACGCUGGCGGCAUGCCUAACACAUGCAAGUCGAGCGGAGCGGCGGACGGGCGGGUAAUGAAUAGGAAGCUGCCCGGUAGUUGGGGAUAACUUACCGAAAGGGGCCCUAAUACCGCACCCUAUUAGAUGUGCCUAGGUCGGAUUAGCUAGUUGGUGGGGUAAAGGCCUACCAAGGCGACGAUCCGUAGCUGGUCUGAGAGGAUGAUCAGUCACACUGGAACUGAGACACGGUCCAGACGCCUACGGGAGGCAGCAGUGGGGAAUAUUGGACAAUGGGCGAAAGCCUGAUGCAGCCAUGCCGCGUGUGUGAAGAAGGUCUUCGGAUUGUAAAGCACUUUUAGUUGGGAGGCGGUACCUGCAGAAUAAGCACCGGCUAACUUCGUGCCAGCAGCCGCGGUAAUAC